rnacentral:lncRNA from 1 species
UGUCCAACCUCCUGCUGGGAACCUUUGACCACCGCGCAGCCGGGUCUUAGCGCCCCGGUAGGGCAGAACCGCCCGCCCCCGGGAGCCGCCGCCGGGCCAGCGGCCCGCACGGCCCGGCCCCCGCCGCCGCCCCGGGCUCGGCGGGCGCAGGGCGCUGGGCUUCGCCCGCCGCGGGGGCUCCGCGCUGAUAAGAGGCCCGGCGAAACAGCGCGGGGACUUUGCGCCCUCCCUGCCCGGGGCCGCUCGGCGGGGCAGAGCGGCCAAAGGCGGCCGGUACAUUUCCACCGCCCGCCCCUGCGCCGAGCGCUCCGACCCGGCGACUCCUCGGCCGCGCCGCGGGGAACGGCUCAAAGUUCACGGUCGCCCGCGCGUUCUUGCGAGCGCUUGGCCGCUCGGGAACACUCGCCCCGCCGUGUUCGCCUGCGGGACCCAAGGCGCUGCUGCCCCGGCGGCGCUUACCUGCCGGCAGCGCCCUGUCGCCGAGCGGGCUCGGAGCGGGCUCGGGGGGUGGGCUGCGCCGCGCCCCACCGCAGCCCGGCUUCACCGGCGGGGCCCGCCCGGUCACAGCGGGGCCCCCGGCGCCGGCCCCGGGCGGCGCUAGGACCCGGCCGCGGAUGGCGCCCGGCGGGCAGGGGCGGGGAGCUCGGGGGGGCAGCGGCGGCUCCCCGGCUCCGCUGGGCUCGGCGCGGUCGGUCGGGGCCUCCCUGCCAGCUUCCGCGGCGAGCGGCGGCCCCUCAGGCCCGGGGGGCUGCCCUCCGCGUCGGGACAGCCCGGGCCGGGCCACCUGCGGGCCAGCGGCCCCGCGGCGGUCGCCGCUCGCCGGGAGGGUGGGGUAACCGCGCGGUCUGCCCCGCACCACUCAAGCAGGUAGAUGUAAUUACGGAUUUCCCAAAACGCACACGCAGCAAGCUCGGCCCGUGUCGAGCGCGGACCGACUCCCAGCGUUUACCCGAGAUAAACCCGGGUGAGCCGGGUCCCGCUCCCCGCCGGAGCCGGGAAGCCGGGCGUGUGCCCGGCCCGCGGCCGCCCCCCUGGAGACGCCGGUCGCCUUCCCGGCCCCGUGUCCUGGCGGCCUGGGGAAGGCGGUGGGUGCUCCCGCCCCGGGGCCGGGGCAGAGGAGCCGCAUGUCUGCCCCCCCCGGGGCAGCCGGCCCCGUCCUGCCGCAGCCCCCGCCGCCGCGGGAGCCCCGGUCUCAGCUGCGGCUCCGCAGGGGCGAGGACGCGGUUUCCUCCUGCUGCCACCCCCGGCAGGCUGCAGGGCAGAUGUGCCUGUCCUCCCCUGCACACCUCCCGGGUGCACCUCGGGAAGCCCCGCGGGCAUUCAGCUCUGCUGGUCCAGAAGGUCCCUUGGGCACAGAGGAAGGACAACUCAAGGCCGCUGGAGCAGGUGCGGGCUUACAACUGCUAUGAGGAGAGUUGCAGAGAAAAUUAUUCAAUCCUAGUGAUGACUGGAGAAAAAAAAAAAAAAAAAAAAAAAAAAAACCCCAAACCCCCACCAAAACGCAAACGCAACCUGCUACAAUUCUUAGUUCUGGAUGUUCCAGUAAAACACAAGCUUGUGACAGUAAAAUCCUUGCUCAGAAAGGGUCUGACAGAUUCCUUGCAAUUAAAAGUAACUGACAAAGUCAAACAGGAAACAAAAUUACCACGUACCAGGAACCCAUGUUUUUGUACCACACACUGCACAUCUGAACCUCUGUUCCGCCACCAAAAAGCAAGGCCAACAGAGUCAGUUGGCUUUUGCCCUCUAGUAUCCCCUCAGGAGAACAGAUUCUGUGAUUACAGCACAGAAACACACUAA